rnacentral:rRNA from 1 species
GAAGGAAAUUAAGUACGGAAGUUCCUGAUUUCACGCUGUCAAGAAAAGCCUCUAGGAAGAGUAGUACUGCCCGUACCGCAAACCGACACAGGUAGAUGAGGAGAGAAUCCUAAGGUGAGCGAGAGAACUCUCGUUAAGGAACUCGGCAAAAUGACCCCGUAACUUCGGGAGAAGGGGUGCUCUAUUAGGGUGCAAGCCCGAGAGAGCCGCAGUGAAUAGGCCCAGGCGACUGUUUAGCAAAAACACAGGUCUCUGCAAAACCGUAAGGUGACGUAUAGGGGCUGACGCCUGCCCGGUGCUGGAAGGUUAAGAGGAGUGCUUAGCUUCGGCGAAGGUACGAAUUGAAGCCCCAGUAAACGGCGGCCGUAACUAUAACGGUCCUAAGGUAGCGAAAUUCCUUGUCGGGUAAGUUCCGACCCGCACGAAAGGCGCAACGAUCUGGGCACUGUCUCAACGAGAGACUCGGUGAAAUUAUAGUACCUGUGAAGAUGCAGGUUACCCGCGACAGGACGGAAAGACCCCGUGGAGCUUUACUGCAACCUGAUAUGGAAUGUUUGUACCGCUUGUACAGGAUAGGUAGGAGCCGAAGAGACGUGUGCGCUAGCAUACGAGGAGGCAAUGGUGGGAUACUACCCUGGCUGUAUGACCAUUCUAACCCGCCACGCUUAGCGCGUGGGGAGACAGUGUCAGGUGGGCAGUUUGACUGGGGCGGUCGCCUCCUAAAGAGUAACGGAGGCGCCCAAAGGUUCCCUCAGAAUGGAUGGAAAUCAUUCGCAGAGUGUAAAGGCACAAGGGAGCUUGACUGCGAGACUGACAAGUCGAGCAGGGACGAAAGUCGGGCUUAGUGAUCCGGUGGUUCCGCAUGGAAGGGCCAUCGCUCAACGGAUAAAAGCUACCCCGGGGAUAACAGGCUUAUCUCCCCCAAGAGUCCACAUCGACGGGGAGGUUUGGCACCUCGAUGUCGGCUCGUCGCAUCCUGGGGCUGUAGUCGGUCCCAAGGGUUGGGCU